GGAGUAAUUAUUUCAUUUACUUCUAUUAAAUCCUUAUACCAGACUUCCCAUUUCCUAAGUAUUUCUCCAGUGAACACCUCAUCCCAAUCAAUUUUUGCCUUGCAUACUUCUUGAAACAAGAUUUUGGCAUAAACAAUUAUAGGGCUCACUAUCCCGAUAGGAUCAAAAAGACUAGCUAAAACACUUAACAGAUUUCUUUUCGUAGGUGAUAGAGUUCUUGCUUUUUCACCUGUCUUUGCAACCUCAAACUUUAACUCAUCCUUAUUGUUAUCCCAUACUUGACCUAAAACCUUAUGGCAUUUUGAUUCAGUUCCCUUCAUUCCUAGAGAUAAUUUUGCAUAUGAUUCAUUCUCAUCUAUUCUAUCGCUCUUCCUGUCCAUGGUCUUCUCUUCUAAAUCAAUCUUAUCUUUCAACAUUCUACUAUUUGUUAACCACUUUCGCAUGUUGAAACCUCCCUGUGCCAUCCUACGCUUUGUCUUACUGUACAACUCUAAUGCCUUUCCUGUACUACCCUCACCACUGACUAGAUCAUCCACAUAAAACCCAUCAAGCAUUUUUUGUACAAACUCUGGAUCUUCUUCAACAUAUGUAGAGACAUGGUGUCUCAAAGUAGCAUUGAGCAGGAAUGGUGAUGAAUUUAACCCAAAAACUACUCGGCAAAAACGAUAAACUAGUAUCUCCUGGUCUUCAUUCUCAACAUUCUUCACCCAGAGGAACCUUAAGCUAUCUCUAUCUGCUCUAUCUACUUCCACAUUCAGGAAUGCUUUCUCAAUAUCGCCUACUAACGCUACUCUUUUUUCUCUAAACCUUAUUAAUAUACUAUACAGCAAUGGAUUGAGAGAUGGUCCAACAUGUAAACAGUCAUUAAGCGAUGUUCCUGAUUUUGACUCCUUUGAGGAUGCAUCAUAGACAAUACGUAGUUUUGUGGUCACAGCAUCCUUGCGAAUGACCGCUUGGUGUGGUAAGUAAUGCACCUUGUCUGCCUUCUCUAGACUCGAUACCUGCUCUAUGAUUCCCUUUUCUACUUGCUCUCUAAUUAUUGAAUCAUAUUCUUUCAACAAUUCAGGUUCCUUCUUCAAUCGCCUUAACUGGCUCUUCAUUCUCGCUAGACUAUUCCCGUAAUUGUCUGAAAGCUUGUCAUGGCCUUCCUUCCAGGGCAGUUUCACGGAAUAUCUACUGCCUGUGAAGGUCACGCCAUCUAAACAUUCCUCAUGAACACUAUCCUCGUCAAUUAUGCCUAACCCUUCCAAACUCCAAAGCCUUUGCACAUUACUCUCUAAACUAUCAUUGUUCCACUCCUGAUUACCUAUCUGUGUUACAAAAUUUACCUGGGCUACUCCAACCCUUUCUAUGUCCCUUGCUCUAAGAGGACCUGACAAAACCCAACCUAACUCUGUUUCAACAGCUACUGGAUCCUCCGGUCUACCUCGCCUGGUAACACCUGUUUGAAACUGCCAAAGAUAAUCUGCUCCUAUGAGAACGUCUAUUUCUAAAACUUCCUGGCUACAAACAUCAGAAAACCAUGUGCCCUUCAAGUGUUGGUAAUCCUUUCGUGCUAAUUCUAUGUGUGCAUUUUGUAUACUGGAAAUUUCUGGUACUACAUAAGCUUCUACAGUUAUGACCUUAUCCCCAUGCAGAGGUUUAAGCUUUAAUUCGACCACAUCCCUUUGUUCGGA